rnacentral:tRNA from 1 species
NGCGGGGUGGAGCAGCCUGGUAGCUCGUCGGGCUCAUAACCCGAAGGUCGUCGGUUCAAAUCCGGCCCCCGCAACCA